rnacentral:rRNA from 1 species
CCUACGGGUGGCAGCAGUGGGGAAUAUUGCACAAUGGGGGAAACCCUGAUGCAGCAACGCCGCGUGAGUGAUGAAGUCUUUCGGUAUGUAAAGCUCUAUCCGCAGGGAAGAAAAUGACGGUACCUGAUUAAGAAGCCCCGGCUAACUACGUGCCAGCAGCCGCGGUAAUACGUAGGGGGCAAGCGUUAUCCGGAUUUACUGGGUGUAAAGGGAGCGUAGACGGCUUCACAAGUCUGGAGUGAAAGCCCGGGGCCCAACCCCGGGAAUGCUGUGGAAACUGGCCGGCUGGAGUGCGGGAGGGGCAGGCGGAAUUCCUGGUGUAGCGGUGAAAUGCGUAGAUAGCAGGAGGAACACCGGCGGCGAAGGCGGCUUUCUGGACUGCGACUGACGUUGAGGCACGAAAGCGUGGGGAGCGAACAGGAUUAGAGACCCUAGUAGUC